GGAUACAAGUCCAGAAACUAGGAGUUGCUUUGGUACAAGUUGUGUCGACCUUGGAUAGAUUUCACCAUCAAAUUCUAGAAAAUUCUCACUGAUGUCAUGGAAUUUGAUUCCACUAAAGACGAUUUUGAGUCAUGCGUUGUAGAUCUGGUUGAGUUGGAUCUAGUACCAUGCAUAUAACUCGAUACUAAGGUUGAGUCGGAUCUAAUACCACGUGUAUAACUCGAUACUAAGGUUGAGUUGGAUCUAAUACCACGCGUAUAACUCGAUACUAAGGUUGAGUUGGAUCUAAUACCACGCGUAUAACUUGAUACUAAGGUGAUCCAUUGAAGGAUGAGCUGUCAGGUGAUGUUGAAACCUCUAUCGAGUCAAUCAUCCAAUAUCAGCAUACAGAUUUCAGAGUAGAAAUAGCUAUAAGAAGUUGAAGAAAUUGAAGGUUUUGGGCUAGAGAGUCCAAAAGUUAUUAUUUAUUUUCUAAGUGACAUGUUUUGUCAUUUUCGGGCCUAAGGCCUUCUCUUCUUGUCUUCCAUAUUUAUUUUGUAUUAUUGUAUGAUUAGACUAGGACAGAACAAAAUAAAGCGGGCCAAAAGCCCAAAAUGAAGCGGGUCCAAGUACCGGUCCAGGCGGACAUAAACUUGAUUUGGACCCAA